UAUGAUCUUAAAAUUACCACAAAAUAAUUGUAAUAAUAUUUAAAUUUGAUUAGAAAAUUCUACAAAUUGAUUUGGCAUCAUAAUUUGAGUGCACGAGCUUGCCAUAAAAAAAUUAAAUGAUUCUAACAAAGUGAGAUCAUACAUUGUCCAAUAAUGAAUACAUCUGUCACAUAAUUUCUUAUAACUCAAGUCAAACUUUGAG
rnacentral:lncRNA from 1 species